CUACGGGGUGCACCAGCAGGGAAUAUUGCACAAUGGACGGAAGUCUGAUGCAGCGACGCCGCGUGGAUGAUGAAGGCCUUCGGGUUGUAAAAUCCUUUUCAGGGAGAAGAGGAAGGACGGUAUCCCUGGAAUAAGCGUCGGCUAACUACGUGCCAGCAGCCGCGGUAAUACGUAGGACGCAAGCGUUAUCCGGAUUUACUGGGCGUAAAGCGUCUGUAGGCGGUUUAGUAAGUUUGAUGUGAAAGCUCCAGGCUCAACUUGGAGAGUGCAUUGAAUACUGCUAGACUUGAGGGGAUCAGAGGAAAGCGGAAUUUCCGGUGUAGCGGUAAAAUGCGCAGAUAUCGGAAAGAACACCAGUGGCGAAGGCGGCUUUCUGGGAUCAACCUGACGCUGAGAGACGAAAGCUAGGGUAGCGAACAGGAUUAGAUACCCUCGUAGUC
rnacentral:rRNA from 1 species